rnacentral:antisense_RNA from 1 species
AGUACAUGAUUCCCCAGCUUCAAUAAUGGACUAAUGACCCCCGGAAUCCCACCGCUAUAGCCUUCACUUCCCCAGGAAUUCCUGUUGCAGGCGUCUCUCAAUGAAGACCACAAACAGGAAAUGGAGGAGUGGGGAGUUGCCUGAGAUCCUGGAAACUACGUUCUUAAGAACUGCAGGCAAUGGACGAGAGUUCUAAUACAUGGAACAGUUACAGGACACUAAGUUCUAGAGCAAUUCAUCUCCAGAACAAAAACUGAAAUGGAAGCAAGAAAAAAAAUAAGUUUCUCACAACUCCUUCCGUGUUGUACAAGCCCCAGUUCAGCACAAUACUCUGCCCUAAUCACUCUGCCCUCCAUCCCAUCCAUCCUCUCCAGCUGAGUCAAUCUCUAAGUGGUUCCGAGCUAGUUCACUGACCACAGAGGACUUCUUCAAAAUGUCCUUCUAAGAUGGCUACUGAGACCUGGUUUGGAAGAUGGCAAGAAAAGUGCCUCUGAAAUAGUGACUCCAAAAUUGACUGCCAAGUCAACAGAAAAUGUUGGAAUUGUUUCCUAAUCAAUCUCAUAUGACCUCCAUAAGAACAGGGAUAAUAAUACUAAUAUAAUACCUAUUCAGAUACAGAUAUUAAAAUAUUAUUAAGAGAACAGGUGAAGAGUGGCUUAAUUCACACCAUUAACAUGUAAACAUGUUACAUGUUACAAACAUGCUCCUCAUGUAAUCCCUAUACUAAAGUUUGAGAUUUACUGGUAUCAACAGACAUUUAAGGCUAGGAACUGACUGUACCAAGAUGUUAGAAGUUUAAGUAAUACUGAUCCCCUAACUAGAUGGUCUGAGUCUCAGACAAUGACAUUUAAAAGGACAUUUGGUUAGAAAUAAAAUCUGGAAUCCACAGAUAAUGGCAGAUGGUACCUUGGAUUUAAAAGAUACCAUUUCAGUCUAUAUGUUUCUAGAAAAGAGUAAUACAGGCACACACUAAAGCUGGGAUGGCUAGAAAGAGGCUCUAAAAAUGAGACUAGCUGGGGAUAAUUAGGAGUUAACAUAUGACACAAAGGGUUGACUUUGAUUGUGAAAAUCUUUCUGCACCAGCAUAUUCUAUCCAAGUUAGACCAGGGGAAUUCCCUGAAGAAAUGGAUUCAGUAUAUUAUCUCAAGCUAGUUAUCAAUAUAUAAUGUGGGUAGGUUCUAUUAUGUGCUUAAAGUAGUUUUUCAGCAGAAACUGAGACAGAGAUCGGAUUAUGAGUGUGUAUAUAAUGAGGCUACAAUGAGCUACCAAGCUGAUAAAAUACAAACCUCUCUUUGAGCCCUCUCAAAGGAAGGCUAUGCUUUCAUGAAGGUAUCAGACUAAAGAAAAAAAACCCUUUCCAGCCUCUGGACCCCAAAAAGAACACGAAUAUUGCUACUAUUGAAAAUACUAGCUGCAACAGGACAAGAUCCUUUUGUAAAAGGGCAAGCUGUAGCUUUCUGCAUAAUUUAACUGUUGAUCAGUCCUCCAAAUAAAUUUCCUGACAGGUAGAGGGCAGUAUACUAAGCCGCUUGUAUUUGGAAAGGACAGAGGUUGCCUCUCUCUAACGUGAUGACAUCACUACCAAACGCAACAAUGACACAUCUAAAAUAAAAGGGAUCCAUGUGCCAUCUGGUGGCAGAAAGCAGUAAAGCACACUGCUAGAAAUAAAAUAUCAAAUUCCUAUGGUUGAGAAGAAAAUUAAAACUUAAUUCCUUUACCUGAUGAUGCAGUCCCUUAAAUCUCCACCAGUAAGUCUUCUGUGGAAACUACAUCAGCAGCCUUUGUGCAAUAGUUUUAAAGUUUUGCCCCAGUUUAGCUCUAUACUCCUAAACACUGGUUGUAAGCAAGCAGCAGCUCCUGAUGCCUGACGUUUGGUGCAUAGAAUAAGAGAAUGAAACUCAGACUAAAACAAACAAAAUAACAAAAGGACUUGGAAGGCUGUCAGAAACAAAAGAAGAGUUUGACAUGACAGAUAACACCAAAGACAGCUUAUUGCAAGGAAAAAAACAAAGUAACAGAACCAGAAGUUUAAAGCUGAAAGAUAUCUUUUAGGUUCAUGUAUCUCACUUUACAGAGAGAGUCAAGGUAUGAAAGAUAACCUUUGGUGCAAUCUUAUUAGUGGUCAGACUAAAACAACAUAUCACUUUUCCCCUACUAGACAUUACCAUAAAUACUUUUUUAUUUUUGGUGGAAGUAUAAAUUACUACAAUCUUGUACCUAGCAACUUGGGCCCAGAAAUUUUAUUUUUAAGAAUUUACUGUGCAGAAAUACAAGUUUGCAAAGACCAUUAAAAACGGAUGUUUCCUUCAGCAUUGCUUGUAAUAAAAACAUGGAAAACUUAUUUGUAUUAUAUGACAGAAUACAACUAUCAGAAAUAAUGACACAGAUCUAUAUGUAAGGACAUCAAGAUGCUAAAACAUGUUAAGCAAAAUACAAAACAGUAUAUACGUAUAAGAUCACACCAAUUACAUUAAAAAAGAAGUGUGUAUACCCUCA